AGAACGAACGCUGGCGGCAGGCUUAGCACAUGCAAGUCGAGCGAUCGCAGCAAUGCGGGAGCGGCAGACGGGGUGAGUAACGCGUGGGAACGUACCCUCCGGUUCGGAAUAACUGAGGGAAACCUUAGCUAAUACCGGCAUAAUACCUACGGGUCAAAGGAGCAAUUCGCUUCAGGAGGGGGUCGCGGCCGAUUAGCUAGUUGGCGGGGUAAUGGCCCACCAAGGCAAUGAUCGGUAU
rnacentral:rRNA from 1 species